rnacentral:rRNA from 2 species
CAACAGGGAUUGCCUCAGUAACGGCGAGUGAAGCGGCAACAGCUCAAAUUUGAAAUCUGGGAUUUUUAGUCUCCGAGUUGUAAUUUGAAGAGGAUGUUUCGGUUGGGACCUGGGCCUAAGUUCCUUGGAACAGGACGUCGUAGAGGGUGAGAAUCCCGUACACGGCUCCCGGUCUCCUUCCAUGUGUAACUCCCUCGAAGAGUCGAGUUGUUUGGGAAUGCAGCUCAAAAUGGGUGGUAAAUUUCAUCUAAAGCUAAAUAUUGGCGAGAGACCGAUAGCGCACAAGUAGAGUGAUCGAAAGAUGAAAAGCACUUUGAAAAGAGAGUUAAACAGUACGUGAAAUUGUUGAAAGGGAAGCGCUUGCAAUCAGACUUGCCUUCAGUUGAUCAACGUUCCUUUUGGUUCGUGCACUCUGCUGUUUGCAGGCCAGCAUCAGUUGGUGCGGUGGGACAAAGGUUGCGGGAAUGUGGCUCACUUCGGUGAGUGUUAUAGCCCGUUUCGUAAUGCCACCAGCGCCGAUUGAGGUCCGCGGUUCGUCCUAGGAUGCUGGCUUAAUGGUUGUAAGCGACCCGUCUUGAAACACGGACCAAGGAGUCUAACAUCUAUGCGAGUCUUUGGGUGUCAAACCCAUGGGCGAAAUGAAAGUGAACGGAGGUGGGAGUCUUCGGAUGCACCAUCGACCGAUCCUGAUGUUCUCGGAUGGAUUUGAGUAGGAGCAUAGCUGUUGGGACCCGAAAGAUGGUGAACUAUGCCUGAAUAGGGUGAAGCCAGAGGAAACUCUGGUGGAGGCUCGCAGCGGUUCUGACGUGCAAAUCGAUCGUCAAAUUUGGGUAUAGGGGCGAAAGACUAAUCGAACCAUCUAGUAGCU